GCGCGUGUGGUGGAAUUGGGAUACAUGCUGGUCUUAGAAACCAGUGCCGAAAGGAUUGAGGGUUCAAGUCCCUCCGCGCGCACCA
rnacentral:tRNA from 2 species